UUGAAACAUUUUUCGCUAUAAUAAUUAGUGUAAAUAAAGAUUUACGAAGUCAUGAGUUUAUCGAGCAAUCAAUCCCCAAUUCAAUCAAAAUAUUGUUUUCUCUCUCUCCAUAAACAAAUAGUAUUUUUGAUAUGAUGGCUCGGCAGACAAA
rnacentral:sRNA from 2 species